UGAGUAAUUUCAACUUUCAUGUUUCUGCCACAGACAAUGAUUCCUCUGAUGGAUCUGGGCAAAGUAAAUUGAAACCUUCUGGAAAGGAUUCACCAUUCUAGAUUCCAUUAAGAACAUUUGUGAUUCAUGGGGAGAUGUCGAAAUAUCAACAUUAACAGAAGUUUGAAAGAAGUUUGAUUCCAAACCUCAUGGAUGACUCCAGGGGUUCAAGACUUCAGUGGAGGGAGUGACUGCA